AGAGCAUUGAGAGGACCUUUCCCUAGUACGAGAGGACCGGGAAGGACGCACCUCUGGUGUACCAGUUAUUGUGCCUACGGUAAACGCUGGGUAGCCAAGUGCGGAGAGGAUAACUGCUGAAAGCAUAUAAGUAGUAAGCCCACCCCAAGAUGAGUGCUCU
rnacentral:rRNA from 1 species